CCGCCCCUGCAACCAUACUCACGGUGCUCCCUCGUUAGGCAUCUCCUUUUAAAGCGUUAAAAUGUCUCUUUCUGUCUCUCUCUCUCUCUCUCUCUCUCAAUUUGAAUCAAUAUACAAAAAGAACAGUAAAUGUUUUCAAUAUGCAAAAUCUCUCUCUCUCUCUUUCUCUCUCUUUCUCUGUGUGUGUGUUUGGGUGGUGGUUGUUUUUUAAUGGUUACAGUCACCCCACUGAUAGGGAGAAUCAUAACUCCCGAAGGCGGGACAGAGGCCAGGGAAUACCAGUGUGUCGCCGAUGCCAACUCCGCACCAACAAGCUUCGUGUGGAGAUACCAGGGCCAGGCCUUGCCUGAUGGUGUGAGACCCGAGGGGGACAGACUGCACUUCCUCGAGUUGAACUCUGACCUUAACGGCGAGUAUAGCUGUGAGGUCACAAACCCAUAUGGGACGGCUGUGUACUCCAUAUAUCGCCACAUAGUUGACCCCGACGACACCCACAAUGAACUUUGACUGCUGCCCUGAUUUGUCAUUGUGGCUUUCUCUGGACCUGGCUGAAGAAGUCCAAAGUAUCAUGUCUGGCUCAAGUCUGGCUCUGGCUUGUAAUAUACUAGACUUCACAUGCAUAUACUUUCAUUCAUAUACUUGCUUUAUGCAUUAUUUAUUUAUCUUUGAUAUUCCAUCCAUUGCAAGCAGCUUCUUAGCCAAAUCCCAGUGCACUUGAGUGAUGUUAGAACAUACACACCUUCCUCUAUAAUGAGAGGUAUCCAUGAGUGCAUGCACAACUCAAAAUAGAUUGGCUACAGUAAAUAGUGAAAAAUGAAAAAUAUAAGCAGCCUCAUGUAAUGCACAGUAUGGUGUAUGAAUAAUGACAAUGUUAUAUAAUCCUAUAUAUUUGUAAGUUACUUGAAGUCAUUGCUCUUUGUCAUUUGCUCUUUGCCGUUUUGUGCUAUUGCAUUUCAAUAAAUAAAGGAUUUAUUUAAGUGGUCA
rnacentral:lncRNA from 1 species